rnacentral:rRNA from 1 species
UAGGGAAUAUUGCAAAAUGGGCGAAAGCCCGAUGCAGCAACGCCGCGUGGGCGAUGAAGGCCUUCGGGUCGUAAAGCCCUUUUUGAGGGGAUGAGGAAGGACAGUACCCUCAGAAUAAGCCUCGGCUAACUACGUGCCAGCAGCCGCGGUAAAACGUAGGAGGCGAGCGUUAUCCGGAUUUACUGGGCGUAAAGCGCGUGCAGGCGGAUUGGAGAGUUGGAUGUGAAAGCUCCCGGCUUAACUGGGAGAGGUCGUUCAAUACUUCCAGUCUUGAGUGCAGUAGAGGGAAGUGGAAUUCCGGGUGUAGUGGUGAAAUGCGUAGAUAUCCGGAGGAACACCGGUGGCGAAAGCGGCUUCCUGGACUGUAACUGACGCUCAGACGCGAAAGCUAGGGUA